rnacentral:ribozyme from 1 species
AGCAAUACCGCACUGAUAUUGGUAUGGAUCCGAAGCCUCUCGAAGGAUAAUAUAGACACUCCACACCCUACUCCGACUCAAUACUUCCACGUCGUACAGAAUGGUAACAUACAUAUCUCUUCAAAAGAAAAGAUGGGUUAUAUGGCUAAAUUGAGCGAA